GCCCUUAGAGUUUGAUCAUGGCUCAGAAUGAACGUUGGCGGCGUGGAUUAGGCAUGCAAGUCGAGCGAGAAUUGUAGCAAUACAAGGAAAGCGGCGAACGGGAGAGUAACGCGUGGACUAUCUACCCUUAGGUCCGGGAUAAUGGCCGAAAGCCAGGUAAUACCGGAUGAUGUCGGAAGACCAAAGGUGUGAUUCCGCCUAGGGAUGGGUCCGCGUCCUAUUAGCUUGUUGGUGGGGUAAUGGCCUACCAAGGCGACGAUGGGUACCGGGUGUGAGAGCAUGACCCGGCUCACUGGGACUGAGACACUGCCCAGACACCUACGGGUGGCUGCAGUCGAGAAUCUUCGGCAAUGGA
rnacentral:rRNA from 1 species